rnacentral:rRNA from 1 species
GACGAACGCUGGCGGCGUGCUUAACACAUGCAAGUCGAACGGAAAGGCCCUGCUUUUGUGGGGUGCUCGAGUGGCGAACGGGUGAGUAACACGUGAGUAACCUGCCCUUGACUUUGGGAUAACUUCAGGAAACUGGGGCUAAUACCGGAUAGGAGCUCCUGCUGCAUGGUGGGGGUUGGAAAGUUUCGGCGGUUGGGGAUGGACUCGCGGCUUAUCAGCUUGUUGGUGGGGUAGUGGCUUACCAAGGCUUUGACGGGUAGCCGGCCUGAGAGGGUGACCGGCCACAUUGGGACUGAGAUACGGCCCAGACUCCUACGGGAGGCAGCAGUGGGGAAUAUUGCACAAUGGGCGGAAGCCUGAUGCAGCAACGCCGCGUGCGGGAUGACGGCCUUCGGGUUGUAAACCGCUUUCGCCUGUGACGAAGCGUGAGUGACGGUAAUGGAUAAAGAAGCACCGGCUAACUACGU